AUGUUAAGGAGAUUUUUGAGGGGCUCUUCUAGUCAAGGCUCCCAGGAAAAACAAGCUAAAGAGAAGGAAAAGGCCAAGUAUAAUCUUCCUCGCAUAGCGAAAGUACGACCGUGUGAAUGGCCCUGUGACAAUUUCUUGAGAGAAGCCGGAAUUUAUGAAGACUUUUAUUCUUUGAUCGAGAAUGCAUGCCUCACCGACUUCCUCCAUGACCGGAUCGAUCAGUAUCUCUUACUCACCAAUACUUUCGUGCAAAACUUUUAUUACUAUCCUAAGAAAUCACCUCCUUCAGUAUCAUUCCAUUUAUAUGAUGAAUUCAAGGAAAUGUCUUUACGUAAUUUUUGCGCGGUAUGUAAAAUACACUUUGAGGGUAAACUAGAUGAACCACAUUGUAAAGAUGUGGAUGGCUUUGUUAACACCAUUACUGUAGGGGAUCCAAAGAAGGGUUCCGAUGCGAGAAUCUCUAGCAUACACUUUCCUGUUUUACGCUACUUUGUCUUAUUUGCUAGUCGAUGCUUAAUUGGUCAUGGAAAUAGUGGAAACUUCAAUGUUCCUGAUAUUAUUAUUCUUCUCCAUGCCUUGUUUGGUGAUAAUAGUUUUAGUAUGGGUGUCAUUAUUGCUAAACGCUAA
rnacentral:rRNA from 1 species